rnacentral:rRNA from 1 species
UGGGGAAUUUUGGACAAUGGGCGCAAGCCUGAUCCAGCAAUGCCGCGUGAGUGAAGAAGGCCUUCGGGUUGUAAAGCUCUUUUGUCAGGGAAGAAACGGUUCUGGCUAAUAUCCGGAGCUAAUGACGGUACCUGAAGAAUAAGCACCGGCUAACUACGUGCCAGCAGCCGCGGUAAUGCGUAGGGUGCGAGCGUUAAUCGGAAUUACUGGGCGUAAAGCGUGCGCAGGCGGUCCGCUAAGACCGAUGUGAAAUCCCCGGGCUUAACCUGGGAACUGCAUUGGUGACUGGCGGGCUAGAGUGUGGCAGAGGGGGGUAGAAUUCCACGUGUAGCAGUGAAAUGCGUAGAGAUGUGGAGGAAUACCGAUGGCGAAGGCAGCCCCCUGGGCUAACACUGACGCUCAUGCACGAAAGCGUGGGGAGCAAAC